rnacentral:tRNA from 2 species
GGACCCAUAGCUCAGUUGGCUAGAGCACUACCUUGACAUGGUAGGGGUCACAGGUUCGAGUCCUGUUGGGUCCACCA